GGCGAAAAUUAAAUUGAAAAAAGUUUUAGACCCGGAUGAGAUUGUCCAAUCAGGAAAUACUGACCAUAUCCCAUAAUUCUCUGUCCAGCAGGGAUUAUGGCAUUGGUUGAUUGGACCUGCUCGAUAAACUGAUAGCACAGUUCCCGGACUCUUGGAAGAGCCUGUAACAAAAAGAACAGUUUGCCUGAAAAGACUUAUGGAUUACAAUGCUGUAACGGCUACCCUGCGGUCGGUCUCCGUUCGUGCAUGAAAACCCCACGAACCCCUUGCCAUCCACAGUAAUCCUGGUGUUCGUCUGAAUCCCCAUGAAUGCUUAAACAAAACUACCGAACGGCCGGUCGUUCGGUAGUUCCAGCACGAACUUACGAGCUCCUGGAGGUCUCAGCGGUGUUCGCCUGUUUGCGUAUCCGUUUUUAGUUCCAUGCGUUCACAGGCAAACACCGCCGUUCGUGCGUAAGAUGGCCGCGAACACGUGUAAAGUCCCGAAAUGGCGGCCAUCUAAC